CCUACGGGGGGCUGCAGUCGAGAAUUUUUCUCAAUGGGGGAAACCCUGAAGGAGCGACGCCGCGUGGGGGAUGAAGGGCUUCGGCUCGUAAACCCCUGUCAUUUGUGAGCAAGUGUUAUUGUUUAAGAGAUGAUGACAUUGAUAGUAGCAAAAGAGGAAGGGACGGCUAACUCUGUGCCAGCAGCCGCGGUAAUACAGAGGUCCCAAGCGUUGUUCGGAAUCACUGGGCGUAAAGGGUGCGUAGGCGGUAUAGUAAGACUUGGGUGAAAUCUCCAUGCUUAACGUGGAGGGAGCCUGGGAGACUGCUGUGCUAGAGGAUUGGAAGGGAGACUGGAAUUCUUGGAGUAGCAGUGAAAUGCGUAGAUAUCAAGAGGAACACCAGUGGCGAAGGCGAGUCUCUGGACAAGACCUGACGCUGAGGCACGAAGGCCAGGGGAUCAAACGGGAUUAGAUACCCUGGUAGUC
rnacentral:rRNA from 1 species